GCAAGUCGAACGGUAACAGGACUAGCUUGCUAGUUGCUGACGAGUGGCGGACGGGUGCGUAACGCGUGGGAAUCUACCUUAGAGUUGGGGAUAAGCUUUGGAAACAGAGUCUAAUACCGAAUACGGUCUACGGACUAAAGUGUGCCUCUCCUUGGAAGCACACGCUUUAAGAUGAGCCCGCGUUAGAUUAGCUAGUUGGUGGGGUAAAAGCCUACCAAGGCGAUGAUCUGUAGCUGGUUUGAGAGGACGAUC
rnacentral:rRNA from 1 species